rnacentral:RNase_P_RNA from 1 species
CCAGAGAGCCGGGUAAUCGCAUGCUUAAAGCGUGAGGAAAGUCCGGGCUCCAUGAAAAUACGGUGCCGGAUAACAUCCGGCGGGGGCGACCCCAGGGAAAGUGCCACAGAAAAUAUACCGCCGCAGAAAUGCGGUAAGGGUGAAAAGGUGCGGUAAGAGCGCACCGCGUUGCUGGCAACAGGAACGGCACGGAAAACCCCACCGGGAGCAAGGCCAAAUAGGGAAAGCGACGCAACUUCGGUUGCAGGGAAUAUUUUCAGUCCCGCUUUCCGGGUAGGUCGCAUGAGGCGAUGAGCGAUCAUCGUCCCAGAUGAAUGAUUGCCCCGUUCGCAAGAACGGACAGAACCCGGCUUACAGGCUCUCUGGUUUU